UACGUAGGGCGCAAGCGUUAUCCGGAAUUAUUGGGCGUAAAGAGCUCGUAGGCGGUUUGUCGCGUCUGCCGUGAAAGUCCGGGGCUCAACUCCGGAUCUGCGGUGGGUACGGGCAGACUAGAGUGCAGUAGGGGAGACUGGAAUUCCUGGUGUAGCGGUGAAAUGCGCAGAUAUCAGGAGGAACACCGAUGGCGAAGGCAGGUCUCCGGGCUGUAACUGACGCUGAGGAGCGAAAGCAUGGGGGAGCGAACAGGAUUGAGAUAC
rnacentral:rRNA from 1 species